rnacentral:rRNA from 1 species
GUCCACGCCGUAAACGAUGAGUGCUAGGCGUUGGGUGUAUUGACCCCUCCAGUGCCGCAGCUAACGCGUUAAGCACUCCGCCUGGGGAGUACGGCCGCAAGGCUAAAACUCAAAGGAAUUGACGGGGGCCCGCACAAGCGGUGGAGCAUGUGGUUUAAUUCGACGCAACGCGAAGAACCUUACCUGGGUUAAAUCCACCGGAACCUCCUGGAGACAGGGGAGUGCCCUUCGGGGAACCGGUGAGAAGGUGCUGCAUGGCUGUCGU